CUACACGUGAACCAUUCACCUUAAUAACUUAAUUCCAGGGCCGUCCCCAUACCCCGUCCGGUAUGGGCGCCAAAACCAUGAAUCUCAAUACCCCGUUCGGUAUGAGUGCCAAAAUAUUUAAAGUCUCCAUACCCCGUCCGAUAUGAGAGACAACGUUCCCGGUAAGGUUCCCUAUGGACCCGGUCCAUCCACCAUCUCUCAAGAUAUCUAGUGAGGCUAUCGACUUAUCCAUUUGUCAACUCACAUACUUUUUCUAUUUUUUCUUAGUUUUCUAUUUCUCACAUAAUCAUAAAUAUUUAAACCAGUAACGAGCAUCCAACAAGGCAGAUAUAUCAUCAGAUUCACAAAAUCAAGCCAUAAUGAAGUAAACAGUGAUUCAUGCAUUCAAAACCAUAAAAUAAAUAGAUCAGAUACCAUAAUGCAUUUAAAACUGUAAAAUAA
rnacentral:lncRNA from 1 species